UACGAAGGGGGCUAGCGUUGUUCGGAAUUACUGGGCGUAAAGCGCACGUAGGCGGAUUUGUUAGUCAGGGGUGAAAUCCCGGGGCUCAACCUCGGAACUGCCUUUGAUACUGCAAAUCUCGAGUCCGGAAGAGGUGAGUGGAAUUCCUAGUGUAGAGGUGAAAUUCGUAGAUAUUAGGAAGAACACCAGUGGCGAAGGCGGCUCGCUGGUCCGGUACUGACGCUGAGGUGCGAAAGCGUGGGGAGCAAACAGG
rnacentral:rRNA from 1 species